ACGGGAGGCAGCAGUGAGGAAUAUUGGUCAAUGGAGGCAACUCUGAACCAGCCAAGUCGCGUGAAGGAAGAAGGCCCUACGGGUCGUAAACUUCUUUUGCAGGGGGAUAAAGUCGGCCACGCGUGGCCGUUUGCAGGUACCCUGUGAAUAAGCAUCGGCUAACUCCGUGCCAGCAGCCGCGGUAAUACGGAGGAUGCGAGCGUUAUCCGGAUUUAUUGGGUUUAAAGGGUGCGUAGGCGGGCUGUUAAGUCAGCGGUGAAACCCCCGGGCUCAACCCGGGGACUGCCAUUGAAACUGGCGGCCUAGAGUACGUUGGGAGUGCGCGGAAUGUGUGGUGUAGCGGUGAAAUGCAUAGAUAUCACACAGAACACCGAUCGCGAAGGCAGCGCACUACGCCGCAACUGACGCUGAGGCACGAAGGCGCGGGGAUCGAACAGGAUUAGAUACCCUGGUA
rnacentral:rRNA from 1 species